rnacentral:rRNA from 1 species
AACGAACGCUGGCGGCAUGCCUAACACAUGCAAGUCGAACGAAGGCUUCGGCCUUAGUGGCGCACGGGUGCGUAACGCGUGGGAAUCUGCCCCUUGGUUCGGGAUAACUUCUGGAAACGGAAGCUAAUACCGGAUGAUAUCGCGAGAUCAAAGAUUUAUCGCCAGGGGAUGAGCCCGCGUCGGAUUAGCUAGUUGGUGGGGUAAAGGCCUACCAAGGCGACGAUCCGUAGCUGGUCUGAGAGGAUGAUCAGCCACACUGGGACUGAGACACGGCCCAGACUCCUACGGGAGGCAGCAGUGGGGAAUAUUGGACGAUGGGCGCAAGCCUGAUCCAGCAAUGCCGCGUGAGUGAUGAAGGCCUUAGGGUUGUAAAGCUCUUUUACCCGGGAUGAUAAUGACAGUACCGGGAGAAUAAGCCCCGGCUAACUCCGUGCCAGCAGCCGCGGUAA